rnacentral:rRNA from 1 species
AGUCAUAUGCUUGUCUCAAAGAUUAAGCCAUGCAUGUCUCAGUACAAGCCGAAAUAAGGUGAAACCGCGAAAGGCUCAUUAAAUCAGUUAUGGUUCCUUAGAUCGUACCCACAUUUACUUGGAUAACUGUGGUAAUUCUAGAGCUAAUACAUGCAAACAGAGCUCCGACCGGAGACGGGAGGAGUGCUUUUAUUAGAUCAAAACCAAUCGGCGGCGGGCGCGUCCGCGCGUCCGUUCGCCGCUCAACCUGGUGACUCUGAAUAACUUUCCGCUGAUCGCACGGUCUCGCACCGGCGACGCAUCUUUCAAAUGUCUGCCUUAUCAACUGUCGAUGGUAGGUUCUGCGCCUACCAUGGUCGUAACGGGUAACGGGGAAUCAGGGUUCGAUUCCGGAGAGGGAGCCUGAGAAACGGCUACCACAUCCAAGGAAGGCAGCAGGCGCGCAAAUUACCCACUCCCGGCACGGGGAGGUAGUGACGAAAAAUAACGAUACGGGACUCAUCCGAGGCCCCGUAAUCGGAAUGAGUACACUUUAAAUCCUUUAACGAGGAUCAAUUGGAGGGCAAGUCUGGUGCCAGCAGCCGCG